rnacentral:rRNA from 1 species
CGGGGCCCAUCCCGUAAGGCUAAAUACUCCCGAGAGACCGAUAGCGAACCAGUACCGUGAGGGAAAGGUGAAAAGAACCCCGAGCAGGGGAGUGAAAUAGACCCUGAACCCGUCUGCCUACAAGCGGUCGGAGCGUCGUAAUGACGUGACGGCGUGCCUUUUGCAUAAUGAACCUACGAGUUACCUUCCCCGGCAAGGUUAAGUUCUUGAGGAACGGAGCCGAAGCGAAAGCGAGUCUGAACAGGGCGCCAAGUCGGGGGGGGUAGACGCGAAACCGAGUGAUCUACCCUUGGCCAGGUUGAAGGUUGGGUAACACCAACUGGAGGACCGGAUGGGUAAGCGUUGAAAAGCUUUCCAAUGAGCUGAGGGUAGGGGUGAAAGGCUAAUCAAACUCGGAGAUAGCUCGUACUCCCCGAAAUGCAUUUAGGUGCAGCCUCUUUAUAGUAUAUCGUGAGGUAGAGCGACUGAUUGGAUGCGAGGGCUUCACCGCCUAUCAAGUCCAGAUAAACUCCGAAUGCGCGAUAUAUAUUUACAGGGAGUGAGGGCGCGGGUGCUAAGGUCCGUGUCCGAGAGGAGAAGAAUCCAGACCACCGGCUAAGGCCCCCAAAUGAUCGUUAAGUUGAACUAACGAGGUCGGAUCGCAGAGACAGCUAGGAUGUUGGCUUGGAAGCAGCCAUUCAUUUAAAGAGUGCGUAACAGCUCACUAGUCGAGCGAUCUGGCGUGGAUAAUAAUCGGGCAUAAACGAUCUGCCGAAGCCGUGGAUGUCGCAAGACAUGGUAGGGGAGCAUUCCAUGCGGCGUCGAAGAUGAGGGAUGACCCUUGUUGGAGCGCAUGGAAAAGCAAAUGUAGGUAUGAGUAACGAUAAGGGGGGCGAGAAACCCCCCCGCCGAAAGACCAAGGUUUCCUGAUCAACGCUAAUCGGAUCAGGGUGAGUCGGGACCUAAGGCAAAGCCGAACGGCGCCGCCGAUGGAAGAAUGGGUUAAUAUUCCCAUACUGCCUCAUGGAGUGACGUGGAGACGGAGAAGUGACAGUCCUGCCGGCUGACGGAAUAGCCGGUUGAAGGGUGUAGAUAUUGAUUCCCGUAGGCAAAUCCGCGGGGAGAGUCGAACCUGAGAGUAUACGGAGCGCUUGCGCGACGUAAUAUGGACGUAACCAUGCUCCCGAGAAAAUCCGCUAAACUUAUCCAUGCGGCACCCGUACCGUAAACGGACACACGUGGUCGGGUUGAGAAUACUGAGGCGCUCGAGUGAUUCACGGUUAAGGAACUAGGCAAAUUGACCCUGUAACUUCGGGAUAAAGGGUCCUCGUCGUAAGGCGAGGCGCAGAGAAUAGGUCCAGGCAACUGUUUAACAAAAACACAUGGCUGUGCUAAAUGGAAACAUGAUGUAUACAGCCUGACACCUGCCCGGUGCCGGAAGGUUAAGAGGAGAUGUCAUCCGCGAGGAGAAGCGUUGAAUUGAAGCCCCGGUAAACGGCGGCCGUAACUAUAACGGUCCUAAGGUAGCGAAAUUCCUUGUCGGGU